CUAGAGCCUGAAACAAGAGAACCGACAUUCUUGAGUACGUGAAACAAGAUACCUCCGAAUAUGUCACCAUUUGUUUUUCCACCCUAAAUGCAAAUGCAAGAUAUCUACUUACUUCCAAACGUGUUGCUUCAGGAUUACAAAGUUUCUUGUCAACCAUCCUGUUGAAGGUUUUAUGGUAUUUAUUGUACGAAUAUAAACGGAAACUUUGUAAUCCUAAGAUAGGAAGGGAUGACCCUUUGGAUCUUCCAAACGGAAGAAGUUGAUGUUAUGAGAGUGAACAUUUCGCCAGACUUCGUAAGCGUUAAAUGCAACGAAAAGUUUGAGGUAAUCCCCGAGCUUCGUAAGUCAACGGGAUUAAUUGUAAGAGACUAAGAUAGCUAUUCCUAUAUUUUAGGUUAUGUUAGAUAUAUGUUAUUUUUAAAUGAACCAAACUUUUACGAUGAUCAAAUAAAAUAACAUUCUACUACUAAUUGAAUUGGAUCUGUUGAGUUUUGGGAAGGAGAGAGGGAGAGAGAGAGAGAGAGAGAGAGAGAGAGAGAGAGAGAGAAAGAGAAAAAAAAGAGAAAAAGAGGGUGAGAAAUGAAGAGAAAAUAGAAACGAAAGUAUUUCCACGAUUCGCCGUGGCAAUAGAGUCAGAGAUCCCUUUUUGAGGUUUCCACAAAUGUUAGUAUAGUAUUGAGAUACGUCGUUCUAAAGUUACUACCAAGCCGCAGUCUGUUAAAUCUGUGCGCUAUUAAAGUUACGCCCAUCACUAUGCCGCUAAGCCCUGAACAUCUCUAUCGAGGAUUCAAAUGGCUUAAACUUAGCACAGGUUAAUAUACCAUCGACGAUGAAACAUUUGCAACGAAAACUUGCAAACCAUCGAGGAACUUGCGACGUAACCAGGCCGACCAUGUUACUACGAGGUAAUAUUAACGACAUAACAACGGUUACAGGCAUCGUUACAAAGUGAUGAUUUUACCGUACGCUCAGAGAAAUUUCCCCUUUCGCUUUAAAAGCGAAUGCAGAGCGUAAUUAUCGGAUUAAUUUUUUUUUAAUGCGAAAAAGAUAGAGAAUGAGAGGGAGGAAGGGAGAGAGAGAGAAAGAGAGAGAGAGAAAGAGCUUCGUUCAUCGACAUUAUUCCUCUGGAAAUUAUUACGUUGGCAUGGAAUUUCAUUAAUUUACUAAUUUCUAUCUAAAACGCUACCCUUUGUUUUCUUUCUCAUCUUAUUAAUAAAUGGUUUUAUAAUAGACUCAUCUCUCUAUAGUCGAUUUUUAUCUCGACUUUGCAAAUACAUACGCCAUUGGCAUGUUUCGAAAUGUUACGAAGUUUUAAGAGGAUUACUUUCAUCUUCAUUUAGACGGUGAGAGCUACAAGACCACGUUUCACAUAAAAUACAAGUUCUAUUGGGAUAAAGAA